rnacentral:rRNA from 1 species
GCAAGUCGAGCGACAGUAGCAAUACUGGAGCGGCAAACGGGUGCGUAACACGUGAGCAAUCUGCCCUUAAGACCGGAAUAGCCCAGGGAAACUUGGAUUAAUACCGGAUGUGGAGAAGUCAGGCAUCUGACUUCUUCCAAAGCUUGUAACGGCGCUUAAGGAGGAGCUCGCGGCCUAUCAGCUAGUUGGCGAGGUAACGGCUCACCAAGGCUAAGACGGGUAACUGGUCUGAGAGGAUGAUC